AGGACUAUACUUUCAGGGAUCAUUUCUAUAGUUCGUAACACCUUUUUUUAUUUUAAAAAAGAAUGUCUUCCCUUGACCAUUGCAUUCUGUG
rnacentral:snoRNA from 1 species